CGGACGGGUGAGUAACGCGUGGGUAACCUGCCUCACACAGGGGGAUAACAGUUGGAAACGGCUGCUAAUACCGCAUAAGCGCACAGUACCGCAUGGUACAGUGUGAAAAACUCCGGUGGUGUGAGAUGGACCCGCGUCUGAUUAGCUAGUUGGCAGGGCAACGGCCUACCAAGGCGACGAUCAGUAGCCGACCUGAGAGGGUGACCGGCCACAUUGGGACUGAGACACGGCCCAAACUCCUACGGGAGGCAGCAAUG
rnacentral:rRNA from 1 species